UACGGCCAUAUCAUGUUGUAAUGCAGACUCCCUUACGAUCACCGAAGUUAAGCAAUGUUGUGCAUGGUCAAUACCAACAUUGGUGAUCGCAUUGGAAUACCAAGUGGUGUAAG